AUUGAACGCUGGCGGCAUGCUUUACACAUGCAAGUCGAACGGCAGCGCGGGCUUCGGCCUGGCGGCGAGUGGCGAACGGGUGAGUAAUAUAUCGGAACGUACCCAGGAGUGGGGGAUAACGUAGCGAAAGUUACGCUAAUACCGCAUACGUCCUACGGGAGAAAGCGGGGGAUCGCAAGACCUCGCGCUCAUGGAGCGGCCGAUAUCUGAUUAGCUAGUUGGUGGGGUAAAGGCUCACCAAGGCAACGAUCAGUAGCUGGUCUGAGAGGACGACCAGCCACACUGGGAAUGGGACACGGCCCAGACUCCUACGGGAGGCAGCAGUGGGGAAUUUUGGACAAUGGGGGCAACCCUGAUCCAGCAAUGCCGCGUGAGUGAAGAAGGCCUUCGGGUUGUAAAGCUCUUUUGUCAGGGAAGAAACGGUUUUGGCUAAUAUCCGAGACUAAUGACGGUACCUGAAGAAUAAGGACCGGCUAACUACGUGCCAGCCGCCGCGGUAAAAC
rnacentral:rRNA from 1 species